UGAACGCUAGCUACAGGCUUAACACAUGCAAGUCGAAGGGGAAACGAUAUUGGAAGCUUGCUUCCGAUAGGCGUCGACCGGCGCACGGGUGAGUAACGCGUAUCCAACCUGCCCAUCACUUGGGAAUAACCUUGCGAAAGUAAGACUAAUACCCAAUGAUAUCCAUAGAAGACAUCUGAAAUGGAUUAAAGAUUUAUCGGUGAUGGAUGGGGAUGCGUCUGAUUAGCUUGUUGGCGGGGUAACGGCCCACCAAGGCAACGAUCAGUAGGGGUUCUGAGAGGAAGGUCCCCCACAUUGGAACUGAGACACGGUCCAAACUCCUACGGGAGGCAGCAGUGAGGAAUAUUGGUCAAUGGACGGAAGUCUGAACCAGCCAAGUAGCGUGCAGGAAGACGGCCCUAUGGGUUGUAAACUGCUUUUAUGCGGGGAUAAAUUGACUCACGUGUGGGUUAUUGCAGGUACCGCAUGAAUAAGGACCGGCUAAUUCCGUG
rnacentral:rRNA from 1 species